GAUGGGGAAUAAGCUCGGGAAACUGAGUAUAAUACCCCAUAGGUUUCGGGUACUGGAAUGUCCUGAAGUUGAAAGCUACGGCGUCCUAGGAUGAGUCUGCGGCCUAUCAGCUUGUAGUUGGUGUAACAAACCAACUUGGCUUCGACGGGUACGGGCCUUGGGAGAGGUAGCCCGGAGAUGGAUUCUGAGACACGAAUCCAGGCCCUACGGGGCGCAGCAGGCGCGAAAACUUCGCAAUGCGGGAAACCGCGACGAGGGGAUCCCAAGUGCUAGUACAUUGUAUUAGCUGUUUCCCUGAGUAAAUAUCAGGGAGAGUAAGGGCUGGGUAAGACUGGUGCCAGCCGCCGCGGUAAUACCAGCAGCCCUAGUGGUGACCGUUAUUAUUGGGCCUAAAACGUCCGUAGCCGGCUCAGUAAAUUCUUGGGUAAAUCGGGGGGCUUAACCUUCCGAAUUCCGAGGAGACUGCUGGGCUUGGGACCGGGGGAGGUCAGAGGUACUUCGGGGGUAGGGGUGAAAUCCU
rnacentral:rRNA from 1 species